rnacentral:lncRNA from 10 species
CAGAGGCCCACGGUCUAGGUUGUGGUGAUUGUUUUGGUUUGGGUGUUUUUUAGGGGGAUAAGGGGGCUGGGAAUAGAUCCUCCCUGUGGAGUUGGCGGGGAUUCCUCGUUUCUGCCCAAGCGCCGCGGAAUCCAGCACCACCGGCCUGGGACAGCGGCAGGACGCCGAGACAGGUGCCGGCCCCGGAUUAGAAACCCAAACGGAGAAUCCUAGAUGUUGCUCCUACUACAUUCGCCAUAAUUGGCCUGGUGGAAAUGGGAGAAAAAACUACUUCUCACAAAGAAUCAAUUCUGGGAACUGGAAAAAGCAUAUCAGACCAACUCAAAACGUCUCCAUUUGAGGCAAUGUAGUGCUGUGAAAGGAACGUAGGCAGAUUUGAGUUUCAGUGGCACAUCUGAAACUUAUCCGCAGAGACUCUAAGCAAUUAAAUUCUGAGACAUUCUUCUCUGUGCAGCGAGACUACUCAUGUCUUUCUCCCAGGGGAGUUGUAAGACUUAAAUGAGGUAAACCACGCAGCAGGGGAGCCUAACAGCUCCUUUAAUAGUCCCCCAACUCCAAAAGGGAAAGUCCUGUGUAUCUGCCACAGAAAUCUUGGACCAUAUUUCUACCAAUGGAAACUGACUCUCUGUCCCGGGCAUUCUUAUACCAAUUGAUCCGGAUCCCAAUUAAUAAUCGAUUCUUGAAAGAGAGAUAUUUUUCAAAUUUUCCUUUAUUUAGACUGUUUAGAUAGGGAUCUUGCCUUGAAAAAUGAUAUGCAUUUUAAAAAACUCUUCGCUUCAGUGCAGGGAAUUGAGUAAGUUUAACAGAUUUGCACAGGACACUCUGAAGAAUUAUUACAAACAGGACCAAGGCUUGUAGCCUCUUGGGCAUUAAAAUUCCAAUAGUGGCAAUAAAUUUACCCUUAGUGGACCCACCGAAUGUAGCAGACAUGAAUAAAAUGCACUUCAGCUGAACCUGGCAGCAAAUCGUGG